rfam:Ictidomys tridecemlineatus contig012273, whole genome shotgun sequence.
GGGGAUGUAGCUCAGAGGUAGAGUGCUUGCCUAGUAUGUAAGAGGCCCUGGGUUCAAUUCCCAGCACUAUUU